rnacentral:tRNA from 1 species
GCCGAAGUGGUGGAACUUGGUAGACACGCACGGUUGAGGGCCGUGUGCUUCACGGCAUGGGGGUUCAAAUCCCCCCUUCGGCA